rnacentral:misc_RNA from 1 species
AAGUCGUAACAAGGUCUCCGUAGGUGAACCUGCGGAGGGAUCAUUACAGAGAACAUCGCCCUCACGGGUGACUCUCCAACCCUAUGUUAUACAACCUUUGUUGCUUUGGCGAGCCGCCUCGGCCGCUGGCUUCGGCUGGCGAGUGCUCGCCAGAGGACCCCAAACUCUGAAUAUUAAUGUCGUCUGAGUACUAUAUAAUAGUUAAAA